AUCUUCCACAAUGGGCGAAAGCCUGAUGGAGCAACGCCGCGUGUGUGAUGAAGGCUUUCGGGUCGUAAAGCACUGUUGUAUGGGAAGAACAGCUAGAAUAGGGAAUGAUUUUAGUUUGACGGUACCAUACCAGAAAGGGACGGCUAAAUACGUGCCAGCAGCCGCGGUAAUACGUAUGUCCCGAGCGUUAUCCGGAAUUAUUGGGCGUAAAGCGAACGCAGACGGUUGAUUAAGUCUGAUGUGAAAGCCCGGAGCUCAACGCCGGAAUGGCAUUGGAAACUGGCUAACUUGAGUGCAGUAGUGGUAAGUGGAACUCCAUGUGUAGCGGUGGAAUGCGUAGAUAUAUGGAAGAACACCAGUGGCGAAGGCGGCUUACUGGACUGUAACUGACGUUGAGGCUCGAAAGUGUGGGUAGCAAACAG
rnacentral:rRNA from 1 species